rnacentral:rRNA from 1 species
AGAGUUUGAUCCUGGCUCAGAUUGAACGCUGGCGGUAGGCUUAACACAUGCAAGUCGAGCGAGAAAGCCCUUCGGGGUGAGUAGAGCGGCGGACGGGUGAGUAACGCGUAGGAAUCUGCCUGGUAGUGGGGGACAACAUGUGGAAACGCAUGCUAAUACCGCAUACGCCCUAUGGGGGAAAGCGGGGGAUCUUCGGACCUCGCGCUAUCAGAUGAGCCUGCGUUAGAUUAGCUAGUUGGUGAGGUAAAGGCUCACCAAGGCGACGAUCUAUAGCUGGUCUGAGAGGAUGAUCAGCCACACUGGGACUGAGACACGGCCCAGACUCCUACGGGAGGCAGCAGUGGGGAAUAUUGCGCAAUGGGGGAAACCCUGACGCAGCCAUACCGCGUGUGUGAAGAAGGCCUUAGGGUUGUAAAGCACUUUCAAUUGGGAAGAAAGGUUGGCCCUUAAUAAGUGUCAGCUGUGACAUUACCUUUAGAAGAAGCACCGGCUAACUCCGUGCCAGCAGCCGCGGUAAUAAGGGCGA